CUCCGGUGGAUUAGGCGAACGGGUGAGUAACACGUGAGCAAUGUACCCUUGACUCUGGGAUAACUGCGGGAAUGUAGCUAAUACCGGAUACGACCUUGGAAGGCAUCUUCCGGGGUGGAAAGUUUUUCGGAAGGAUCAGCUCGCGGCCUAUCAGCUAGUUGGUGAGGUAACGGCUCACCAAGGCAACGGGGUAGCCGGCCUGAGAGGGUGACCGGCCACACUGGGACUGAGACACGGCCCAGACUCACGGGAGGCAGCAGUGGGGAAUAUUGCACAAUGGGCGAAAGCCUGAUGCAGCAACGCCGUGAGGGACGAAGGCCUUCGGGUUGUAAACCUCUUUUAGUAGGGAAGAAGCGAAAAGUCGGUACCUGCAGAAAAAAGCACCGGCUAACUACGUGCCAGCAGCCGCGGUAAUACGUAGUGCAAGCGUUGUCCGGAAUUAUUGGGCGUAAAGAGCUCGUAGGCGGUUUGUCGCGUCCUGUGAAAACCCGAGGCUCAACCUCGGGCCUGCAGUGGGUACGGGCAGACUAGAGUGCUAGGGGAGAAUGGAAUUCCUGGUGUAGCGGUGGAAUGCGCAGAUAUCAGGAGGAACACAUGGCGAAGGCAGUUCUCUGGGCCGUAACUGACGCUGAGGAGCGAAAGCGUGGGGAGCACAGGAUUAGAUACCCUGGUAGUCCACGCCGUAAACGUUGGGCGCUAGUUGUGGGGAC
rnacentral:rRNA from 1 species